UACGUAGGUGGCAAGCGUUUAUCCGGAAUUAUUGGGCGUAAAGGGCGCGUAGGCGGCUUGGCAAGUGGAUGGUGAAAUCCCUCGGCUUAACCGAGGAACUGCCGUCCAAAACUGCUUCGCUUGAGACCGGGAGAGGUGAGUGGAAUUCCCAGUGUAGCGGUGAAAUGCGUAGAUAUUGGGAGGAACACCAGUGGCGAAGGCGGCUCACUGGACCGGUACUGACGCUGAUGCGCGAAAGCGUGGGGGAGCAAACGGGG
rnacentral:rRNA from 1 species